CCUACGGGAGGCAGCAGUGGGGAAUUUUCCGCAAUGGGCGAAAGCCUGACGGAGCAAUACCGCGUGAGGGAAGAAAGCCUACUGGGUUGUAAACCUCUUUUUUCAGGGAGGAAAAAAAUGACGUGUACCUGAAGAAUAAGCAUCGGCUAACUCCGUGCCAGCAGCCGCGGUAAGACGGAGGAUGCAAGUGUUAUCCGGAAUUACUGGGCGUAAAGCGUCUGUAGGUGGUUCAAUAAGUCAACUGUUAAAUCUUGAGGCUUAACUUCAAAACAGCAGUCGAAACUAUUAGACUAGAGUAUAGUAGGGGUAAAGGGAAUUUCCAGUGGAGCGGUGAAAUGCGUAGAUAUUGGAAAGAACACCGAUGGCGAAAGCACUUUACUGGGCUAUUACUAACACUCAGAGACGAAAGCUAGGGUAGCAAAUGGGAUUAGAUACCCCAGUAGUCCUAGCUGUAAACAAUGGAUACUAGAUGUUGAACAGAUCGACCUGUGCAGUAUUAAAGCUAACGCGUUAAGUAUCCCGCCUGGGAAGUAUGCUCGCAAGAGUGAAACUCAAAGGAAUUGACGG
rnacentral:rRNA from 1 species